ensembl:snoRNA
UGGUCAUUACCAAGUCUUUUAGAAUGCAGUUUCUCAUUUGCUAUGGACAUGACCAUAAAAAUAUUCCCACUAGGUUUUCUAUCUGCUACCUUGCCAACAAUAAACCUAUUUGGAACAUUU